rnacentral:rRNA from 1 species
AUUGAACGCUGGCGGCAGGCCUAACACAUGCAAGUCGAGCGGCAGCGGGAAAGUAGCUUGCUACUUUUGCCGGCGAGCGGCGGACGGGUGAGUAAUGCCUGGGAAAUUGCCCAGUCGAGGGGGAUAACAGUUGGAAACGACUGCUAAUACCGCAUACGCCCUACGGGGGAAAGCAGGGGACCUUCGGGCCUUGCGCGAUUGGAUAUGCCCAGGUGGGAUUAGCUAGUUGGUGAGGUAAUGGCUCACCAAGGCGACGAUCCCUAGCUGGUCUGAGAGGAUGAUCAACCACACUGGAACUGGGACACGGUCGAGACUCCUACGGGAUGCAGCAGUGGGGAAUAUUGCACAAUGGGGGACACCCUGAUGCGGCCAUGCGGCGUGUGUGAAGAAGGCCUUCGGGUUGUAAAGCACUUUCAGCGAGGAGGAAAGGCCAGUAGCUAAUAUCUGCUGGCUGUGACGUUACUCGCAGAAGAAGCACCGGCUAACUCCGUGCCAGCCGCCGCAGUAACAC